GAACCGUGGUAGACACCAGCAUUUGUCACCCUAGGGAAUUUGAUUUUUACCUUAACAGCCAUGCAGGAAUUCAGUUAUGCGAGGUGUACUCGAUCUGUCUCAAUAGUUCCUCCUGCCUAUUAUGCACACUUGGAUAUUCACCAUGCCAUCUGUUUUUUUGGUUGAGCCUUAUUUUGUAUGGAUGUGCGAUAGAACUACUAGACAACUUUUGGAUAUACAGAACAUGUUUGCCACCAUGGGUGGAUGGGCGUUAUUUUGUUUAGUAUUGGUUAGAACUACUAGACAGCUUUUGGAUACAGUGGUCACUGGGUGUUGGUUGCUAUGGAUCUUUCGAGACUAAUAGUGUAUUAUCUCGAUUCGU